rnacentral:rRNA from 1 species
UACGAGGGGGGCAAGCGUUGUUCGGAAUUAUUGGGCGUAAAGGGCGCGUAGGCGGUGCGGUAAGUCUGAUGUGAAAUCUCCGGGCUCAACUCGGAGUCUGCAUCAGAAACUGCCGUGCUCGAGUGUGGGAGAGGUGAGUGGAAUUCCCGGUGUAGCGGUGAAAUGCGUAGAUAUCAAGUGGAACACCAGUGGCGAAGGCGAGUCUCUGGACAUUUCCUGACGCUGAGGCACGAAAGCCAGGGGAGCAAACGGG